rnacentral:rRNA from 1 species
AUUGAACGCUGGCGGCAGGCCUAACACAUGCAAGUCGAGCGAGCGGCGGACGGGUGAGUAAUGUAUGGGGACUGCCCGAUAGAGGGGGAUCACUACUGGACACGGUGGCUACUACCGCAUACUAUCGGAUAACCCAUAUGGGAGUAGCUUGGAGGUGGGGUAAAGGCACACCUAGGCGACGAUCUCUAUCUGGUCUGAGAGGAUGAUAAGCCACAGUGGUACUGAGACACGGCCCAGACUCCGCCGGAUGAAGCAGUGGGGAAUAUUGCACAAUGGGCGCAAGCAUGAUGCAGCCAUGCCGCGUGUAUGAAGAAGGCCUUAGGGUUGUAAAGUACUUUCAGCGGGGAGGCGUUACCCGCAGAAGAAGCACCGGCUAACUCCGUGCCAGCCGCCGCGGUAAUUC